rnacentral:lncRNA from 1 species
AAAUGGGAACCUAAACGGCAACGAGGCUCCACAAAGACGGCCUGACAUCGACGUUUUACCUUGUAAAGAAGUGAGUAAGUGGGGUUUCUAUGUAAGUCCGCGGGUAGGAAAACUAAAUUUAAUAAAACCUGCCGACUCGUAUACCUAGCUUGGCUACCUCUUUUAAAACUUCAUCUCCUCCCUCCCCUCUCUCUCUGUAUUCCAUAUUCUCCACCUCCUUUUCUCCUUCACUCUCUCACUCCUGCUGUACAUAUAUAUAUAUAUAUAUAUAUAUAUAUAUAUAUAUAUAUAUAUAUAUAUAUAGCAAUGAUCCCGCGCAUGCAUGCAGCUAUCCUCAUGAGAGCUCUUAAUUACAACUUCUGCCUACUGGAAUAUUAGUAGCGUAGAAAGAGGCAAACAGAUUGGAGCCAGGCAACACUAUAUAUUUAUAUAUACCCUACCCCUUUAUUUACUUCUUAAUUUGCUUAGAUUUCACAGAUACUUCUCCCUCUCUGUUAAUUUCUUAUAUAAUUAAUUAAGUAGUCGUUUUACAUGCUUACGUAUAGGUAUUCUUUUCUGAUCUUGAUCAAAUAUCUGUAUAUAUAUAUAGAGAGAGAGACACAAAUCAAACAAGCUUCAUAGGUUGAUAUUCUUCGAAAAAUAAAUAUAUAUUUACGGAAUAUCAACAAGUUUUUAUGUAAAAUGAGAUUCAUUAAUUGACCAUUUGUUUUCUGGAAAUAAUAUGCAGUAUUAACUAUUUAUAUGAAGUCCACAUGAUUUCCGGUUAAUUCUAUUUCUAGCUAGCUGUUCCUUCACAAAGCAUAAUACUGGUACAUUUUAUUUUUUAAAGUUAAUCUCUAGAAUUCAAAAUCGAUAUAUAUGAAUCUAUUUUUUUUCUUAACAAUCUAUACUAUUACAAUUCAAUUUUAGGUGCAUGCCUUUAAUCUUGUGCAGUACAUGUUAAAAUUAUGACUUCUUGUUGAGGGGUGGAUUCAACCUAGCUAUGACCUUGUAUGAAAAAAACACACACUUACCACUAGGAAUAUCACAUGAUUUAACCUUUACAAAUUUAUAUUAAUUCUACUGCAAACAAGUAUAAUUAUUGUAAACUAAAUAAAAAGUACUACACGCGAUUUCAUAAUUAGGAGUAUGUUUGUAAAUUACGAGUUUUAAUGAUAAUUUAAUUUUUCUAGCCUUAUUAUAUAUAUAUUUAUAUAUACACACACAUAAAUAUAUUGGCUAGAAAAAUAGAAGU